CAGUCAGUGCGGCCGAUGACUGCCAAGAAACAGAAAGAGAUAAAUAGCUGUUAACACUGCAACAACACGGCGAGUGAAAACUAUCCUUCACUCGGCUCGCUCCUCAUCUUCAUUCCUCCUCCUCCUCCUCUUUGUGGGGGAUAAGACUGGCCUUGAGUGUUCAUUCCCAAGACACAACUUCUCACAUGCAGCAAAAUAAACAGAGGAGGCGAGUCAGUGCCCUGCUACUACCACCACUGCAGUCGCUCACUGGGCAGCCUGCCCACCUACCAACCCACCGCCUUUCAUGCACCAGGAGCCCCUCCUUGGACCCCUGCACCCCCAUCUCUUCUC